rnacentral:rRNA from 1 species
CUACGGGACGCUGCAGUGAGGAAUAUUGGUCAAUGGGCGAGAGCCUGAACCAGCCAUCCCGCGUGCAGGAUGACGGCCCUAUGGGUUGUAAACUGCUUUUCCAUACCAAGAAACCUGAUUACGUGUAAUUAGUUGCCGGUAGUAUGGGAAUAAGCAUCGGCUAACUCCGUGCCAGCAGCCGCGGUAAUACGGAGGAUGCAAGCGUUAUCCGGAUUCAUUGGGUUUAAAGGGUGAGCAGGUGGGCUUGUAAGUCAGUGGUGAAAUGUUGCCGCUUAACGGUAAAAUUGCCAUUGAUACUGCAAGUCUUGAAUACAGUUGAGGUAGGCGGAAUGUGUUGUGUAGCGGUGAAAUGCAUAGAUAUGACACAGAACACCGAUUGCGAAGGCAGCUUACUAAGCUAUUAUUGACGCUGAGGCACGAAAGCGUGGGGAUCGAACAGGAUUAGAUACCCUUGUAGUC